rnacentral:lncRNA from 1 species
UUUUAUAAAUGAACCUUAAUUUGCCACCAAAAUAAUUAUCUUGAACUAGAGGCAAUAUCCACAAUGCCUGAUAUCAAGUUAAACUUUUAAAAUAAUUACAUUGCAUGAUAAUAUCUCAUGACUAAUAUUCCUUCACUUAGUUUAGUCAAAAUCUGAUUAAUCAUAAUUUGAAAUACAAAUUGUUCCACCAAGAAAACUCUCAGAAUAGCUUAUCACACUUUGGUUACAGGUUGCAUUCUAAUUUUAGCAUUUCAAAAUUCAGAUAAAAUAACAUAAAUUUAUCAAUAGCAAAAGCAAAAAAAUACCUUUGUCUAAUGGCCUAAUGUCUACCCAUCUCUCAAACUUUCCAACGAAUCCUAAAGAUCCUAAAACUUAAUCCCCAUCCAACUAUUUCAAACACAAUC